UACAGAGGUCCCAAGCGUUGUUCGGAUUCAUUGGGCGUAAAGGGUGCGUAGGCGGCGCGGUAAGUCGGGUGUGAAAUCUCGGAGCUUAACUCCGAAACUGCAUUCGAUACUGCCGUGCUUGAGGACUAGAGAGGAGACUGGAAUUUACGGUGUAGCGGUGAAAUGCGUAGAUAUCGUAAGGAAGACCAGUGGCGAAGGCGGGUCUCUGGACAGUUCCUGACGCUGAGGCACGAAGGCCAGGGGAGCAAACGGG
rnacentral:rRNA from 1 species